UGGCCAAGAUCCUGAAAGAACAACAUAUAAAAAGGCUUUUCUGUCGAUAAUAACGUAAACACUAUCUGGAAGAAAUUAAGGUUCACUAUAUUAAUAUUAAAACAUGAAUAACGUUUUUGCCGUGAGUGUUGCUUUUUGCUGCUUUUCGAUGGUUCUAUCCUUGCGGAUGGUCGUGCGACCACGCAGUACAACAACGGAGUCGCCUAUCCAUCUACCGUGCAGAUCAGACAGGGACUGUAAGCGCAUAGUGUGCGACAAUUACGGUGAGGUCCCUGAGUGCCACAGAGCCGCUUCGUCCCCCACGGGCGCCGAGUGCCAUUGUCAUGUACCGGACGAGUGCUUGGUUAACGCGGACUGCGUGCCGGAGUGCGGUCCAAGCGCCACGUGUGACGACAGGGCAUGCCAUGGGCAAUGCAUACACAAUUAAACGAUGUUACCACGCAUUCACUCUGCAUUAUAAUUUUAUUUGAAGAAAAAACUAUCCAACCAUUUAUGUCCGCAAAUGUUAAUGUUAUAUUUAUCAAUCCAAUAAUUAAAAUUGCGUACAAAUGA